rnacentral:rRNA from 1 species
AUUGAACGCUGGCGGCAUGCCUUACACAUGCAAGUCGAACGGUAACGGGCCUUCGGGUGCCGACGAGUGGCGAACGGGUGAGUAAUGUAUCGGAACGUACCUUUCAGUGGGGGAUAACGUAGCGAAAGUUACGCUAAUACCGCAUAUUCUGUGAGCAGGAAAGCAGGGGAGCGCAAGACCUUGCGCUGAUUGAGCGGCCGAUAUCAGAUGAGCUAGUUGGUGAGGUAAAGGCUCACCAAGGCGACGAUCUGUAGCGGGGCUGAGCGGAGGAUCCGCCACACUGGAACUGAGACACGGUCCAGACUCCUACGGGAGGCAGCAGUGGGGAAUUUUGGACAAUGGGGGCAACCCUGAUCCAGCUAUGCCGCGUGAGUGAAGAAGGCCUUCGGGUUGUAAAGCUCUUUCGGCCGGGAAGAAAUCGUAUGGGUUAAUACCCUGUGCGGAUGACGGUACCGGCAUAAGAAGCACCGGCUAACUACGUGCCAGCCGCCGCCGUAAUAC